UUCUUCGUUGGCUUCGCCGUCUCCUCCAAAGUCCGACCUUCAAUCUACUGCCUGACAUGGAUUCUCUCGUUCAUGCGCUCACUUGUAGCGCUGAUGAGUGGGCCAGUGAUAAGAAACAAGAUCAAUUGUCUGUACCAUCUGAGAUCCGAUUUUGUGGAAAUCUUGGGGUAGGAACUAAGUAGGUAGUAGCUUCAGUUUAUGUGCGAUCAACUUGUCUGGGUGUCUGGCCUCACCAACAAUGUCGAUUGAAGGUUGCAGUGUGGCUCAUAUGGAAUUGGUUUGUUUUUUGAUUCACCUGGGGAAACAUUACUACAAUGGUCGAGCUUUCAUAAGAUCAGCUAAAAUCUUUUGAAGAAGGAUUUUAGGCAUAAAGGAACCCAAGAAAGAUCUUAACUUUUAAUGUUCAACAAAGUCAUUAAGCAAUUCUAUUGUCUAUUUUGAGUGCAGCAUUUCAAGGUAUCUUAAAUCACAGAAUAUGGACAUGCUAACUUUUGCAACCUUGCAAGUCAAUAAUUCCUAUUGCAUGAGGACCCAUGAAAGGCUCUGUGAUUUGUAUGAGUUCAUUAUUUGAAUUACAAGGCAUUUGCUUUCCACAUGAUCAGGCAGUCAUUAAAAAAGAUACUUCAAUUGGAUCAAGAUAAUAACCUCUGUAUUGGUGCCAUACCUGUUUUUUAGUUAUAGAUCUCCAUGUUCUCUUUUCACAAUGCCUGAUCAAAUCCUGAAAAGUAUGGAUUACCACCUACAUUUGAAGCAGUGUAAUAUCUGCAUGACUGAAUGCAAUUGUAGUUACCUAGUUUUAUUCUUUAAAAGAAAAAGAAGUGAGAAAAAACCUGUGGGAAUACAAAGUCCAGCCAAUGACAUAAUGUGAAUACAAGUAGCCAUUGUCAAGGGCAUGCUUUACAUGUAACCUUCAUGUCAACUAUUGAACUGUUCUUGAUGAAGUUUCAGGAGCUUUCUACUUGGUUGCUGUCAUUAAAUUAACUUGGACAUGCAAAAGCAUGAAGUUUUCUUUGAUCUGAUUGAAGAACAAUUCGAUGGCGAAGUAAGCGAGAUUCUCUUCUGGCGGUUGAUCCAAUCUUUGUGCUAAAUGCCAUAAGCAGCUGCCAUAGACAAAUACAAGUACUAAGAAGUGGCAACUGUUUUGCAGCAAGCAUAAGUAUUUUCACAGAAGACUACUUUUAACCUCAUGUUAGAACUGAAGCGCAGUAAUAUUAAAUUAAAUUUGCUGAUACCAUUUUAUGGCUUUUGUACCAAUUGCACUAUGAUAAAUGCUCAGUUCCUGUAUCUAAUUUUUUGGGUACACGUUCUUAGUGUAAUCUUUUGAGAGAGUAUAUUCAUUCAUUCUUAGUGUUUGAACAAACCGAGGCUUGACAUGUAAUAAAAGCAAAUAUGCAUUCCAAUAUGCUUGUGAACUUUUAA